rnacentral:tRNA from 1 species
CGGGGAUUGGCGCAGUUGGUAGCGCGCGUGCUUUGGGAGCACGAGGUCGCCAGUUCGAGUCUGGCAUCCCCGACCA